GGGGGGAGCAAGCGUUGUUCGGAAUCACUGGGCGUAAAGGGCGUGUAGGCGGUCAGGUAAGUGAAAUGUGAAAUCCCUCGGCUCACCCGAGGACCGGCAUCUCAUACUGCUUGGCUUGAGUACGGGAGAGGAUGUGGGAAUUCCUGGUGUAGCGGUGAAAUGCGUAGAUAUCAGGAGGAACACCGGUGGCGAAGGCGCACAUCUGGCCCGAUACUGACGCUGAGGCGCGAAAGCUAGGGGAGCAAACGGGAUUAGAUACCCCGGUAGUCCUAGCCGUAAACGGUGAUCACUAGGUGUUGGGGGCAUUGACCCCUCCAGUGCCGCAGCUAACGCAUUAAGUGAUCCGCCUGGGGAGUACGGCCGCAAGGUU
rnacentral:rRNA from 1 species